AAAAUAAUUGUUCGACAUUUGACCCCGACUGUUUUCGUACUCCAUCCCGGUUCCGUUAUGUACAAUUGUAAUCCUCGAAUCGAAGUACAUUUGUUUGUCGGCGUUUUCAAAAUCGACGUAGCGGAAUACCCCUUUUCACGUAACGCGAUUUAUAUUCGAUUAGUGUGAAACGGUACGGUUCGCUCGCAAAUUGUUAAAUCCGAUGUUGUCCAACGGCAACGCGGAAUGAUGUAGUAGCAAACUACACGGCGGUACGGUGCGUACAAUAAUUUUUCCCCGGCAAAAGACAUUGUGAGUUGUAUACAAUUUUGUAGAAUUUUAAUUUUAAAUAUUAAACCCAAUCUCAAGGCUUUUACGCGACCCGAAAUCGGGUUGAAUCGGAUGAACACCACUGACGUAGCCGUUAUAAUAACACCGCGCACGGCGCCAAUAUUAUUUUUAUGUUCGCGGCUCGCAUACCGAAUCGACGGUUUCGUGCCGUGGUGUUUAUUGUGUUGCACAGCCCCGGGUAACGUUACGACGUUUUCCCUUAUUUUUUUCACCCUUCGUUUUCCGAGUGAAACCACAACCC